rnacentral:rRNA from 1 species
CCUACGGGAGGCAGCAGUGGGGAAUAUUGCACAAUGGGCGAAAGCCUGAUGCAGCGACGCCGCGUGAGGGAUGACGGCCUUCGGGUUGUAAACCUCUUUCAGCAGGGAAGAAGCGAGAGUGACGGUACCUGCAGAAGAAGCGCCGGCUAACUACGUGCCAGCAGCCGCGGUAAUACGUAGGGCGCAAGCGUUGUCCGGAAUUAUUGGGCGUAAAGAGCUCGUAGGCGGCUUGUCACGUCGGGUGUGAAAGCCCGGGGCUUAACCCCGGGUCUGCAUUCGAUACGGGCUAGCUAGAGUGUGGUAGGGGAGAUCGGAAUUCCUGGUGUAGCGGUGAAAUGCGCAGAUAUCAGGAGGAACACCGGUGGCGAAGGCGGAUCUCUGGGCCAUUACUGACGCUGAGGAGCGAAAGCGUGGGGAGCGAACAGGAUUAGAUACCCUGGUAGUCCACGCCGUAAACGGUGGGAACUAGGUGUUGGCGACAUUCCACGUCGUCGGUGCCGCAGCUAACGCAUUAAGUUCCCCGCCUGGGGAGUACGGCCGCAAGGCUAAAACUCAAAGGAAUUGACGGCNGNGAGNGCGACGACGACACGAGGAGGAGG